rnacentral:rRNA from 1 species
CUACGGGAGGCAGCAGUGGGGAAUAUUGCACAAUGGGCGAAAGCCUGAUGCAGCGACGCCGCGUGCGGGAUGACGGCCUUCGGGUUGUAAACCGCUUUCAGCAGGGAAGAAGCGCAAGUGACGGUACCUGCAGAAGAAGCGCCGGCUAACUACGUGCCAGCAGCCGCGGUAAUACGUAGGGCGCAAGCGUUGUCCGGAUUUAUUGGGCGUAAAGAGCUCGUAGGCGGCCUGUCGCGUCUGCCGUGAAAUCUGGGGGCUUAACCCUCAGCGUGCGGUGGAUACGGGCAGGCUGGAGGCAGGCAGGGGAGAACGGAAUUCCCGGUGUAGCGGUGAAAUGCGCAGAUAUCGGGAGGAACACCGGUGGCGAAGGCGGUUCUCUGGG